GACGAACCGUGCGAACGUUGUUCGGAAUCACUGGGCUUAAAGGGCGCGUAGGCGGCAUAGCAAGUCCGGGGUGAAAGCCCCCGGCUCAACCGGGGAAGUGCCUUGGAAACUGCUGUGCUUGAGGGAGGUAGGGGUCGAGGGAACUUCUGGUGGAGCGGUGAAAUGCGUUGAUAUCAGGAGGAACACCGGUGGCGAAGGCGGGUCUCUGGGCCGUAACUGACGCUGAGGAGCGAAAGCAUGGGGAGCGAGCAGG
rnacentral:rRNA from 1 species